UGUGUAGGCGGCCGAUUAAGUAGGGUGUGAAAUGCCUGGGCUCAACCGAGGCACGGCGCUCUAAACUGGUCGGCUUGAGUGAGAUAGGGGUGUGCGGAACUUCCAGUGGAGCGGUGAAAUGUGUUGAUAUUGGAAGGAACACCGGUGGCGAAAGCGGCACACUGGGUCUCAACUGACGCUGAGACACGAAAGCCAGGGUAGCGAACG
rnacentral:rRNA from 1 species